rnacentral:rRNA from 1 species
UUCGAAGNAAACGGGNAAGAUCNUUUACCAGGGGCUUGACUUUCAGGGUGAAGGCGNCGGAAACUGUCGUGNCCGAGAAGGANCUUGANCNGGUGGUGCANGGCUUUCGUCAGCUCGUGUCGUGAGAUGUUGGGNGAAGUCCCGCAUCGAGNCGCAACCCUCGUGGCAUGUUGCCAGCGNUUCGGCCGGGCACCCAUGGCGANACCGCCGGCGUUAAGCCGGAGGAAGGGGGGGACGACGUCAAGUCAUCAUGCCCCUUAUGUCCUGGGCUGCUCACGUGCUACAAUGGUCGGCACAAUGGGCUGCCAGCCCGCGAGGGCGAGCGAAUCCCUAAAGCCGGCCCCAGUUCGGAUUNGAGANCUGCAACCCGCCUCCAUGAAGUNGGAGUUGCUAGUAAUCGCGGAUCAGCACGCNGCGGUGAAUNCGUUCCCGGUACCUUGUACACACCGCCNGUCACACCACCCGAGUCGAUUGCACCCGAAGUCGCCGGCCCAACCCGCAAGGGAGGGAGGCNCCGAAGGUGUGGUUGAGUAAGGGGGGUGAAGUCGUAACAAGGUAGCCGUACGAGAACGUGCUGGCUGGAUCACCU